AUUGAACGCUGGCGGCAGGCUUAACACAUGCAAGUCGAGCGGUAACAGAGAGAAGCUUGCUUCUCUGCUGACGAGCGGCGGACGGGUGAGUAAUGCCUAGGAAUCUGCCUAGUAGUGGGGGAUAACUUGCCGAAAGGUAAGCUAAUACCGCAUACGUCCUACGGGAGAAAGGAGGGGACCUUCGGGCCUUUCGCUAUUAGAUGAGCCUAGGUCGGAUUAGUUAGUUGGUGAGGUAAUGGCUCACCCAGACCGCGAUCCGUAACUGGUCUGAGAGGAUGAUCAGUCAAAAUGGAACUGAGAGACGGUCCAGACUCCUACGGGAGGCAGCAGUGGGGAAUAUUGGACAAUGGGGGGAACCCUGAUCCAGCCAUGCCGCGUGUGUGAAGAAGGUCUUAGGAUUGUAAAGCACUUUAAGUUGGGAGGAAGAGCAGUUAACUAAUAUUUGACUGUUUUGACGUUACCGACAGAAUAAGCACCGGCUAACUUCGUGCCAGCAGCCGCCGUAA
rnacentral:rRNA from 1 species